GAGACUAUCUCCCAGCAACACCACUCUCUAAACCUCAAACCACGGGUCGUGGGGUGCAGAAGAGAGUGGGGCCAGAGACCCCACUGUGAGGAAAACCCGCAAUUUUCAGGCACUCUCUUCCCCCACCAUCAGAACGGUCUGGUGGAGUCAGCCUGGGUUGUCUCUGGGUCCCCUCUUCCGUCUGUCUCCACGUCAGCCCCUAUUUUGUUUGUUCCUCCUGCCAGUUCCAGUCAGUCCCCAGUCCCCACCCGGCUUCUCCCUGCUUCAAGUGGACUGAAAACGCAGAGAAAAGUCCACCUGGUCUCUGAUAUAGGCGCUGCGGACAAUUUUUUUCUUCUCUCAAGUUCCAGCAGGACGCCACUCUCACCCAGGGCCCUCUCUCUGGGUACUAUCCACUCCCAGGGGUCUUCUUCCCCGGCCCCCUUGGCCAUCCAUGAAGAUAAGAAAAAUUGUGAACCAGAUCAACUGAAAUUGCCCAUUGCAGUGGCACAUGCCUGUAACAGCAGCUACUCUGAAGCCUAAGACUAAUGCCUUCAACUUAAGCUGGAACAAGCAGAGAUGAAAGAAGACAGUUUCAUAACACUAGACCUCACAGAACUACCAAGCUGUGCUUUAAAUGUCUACCAACAGGGAGAAGAUCUGACAUCCUGUUUGACAAAGGAAAUAAGCCUUGGUUCCUCUAAGUAUAUUCUACCCAAAUACACUUAAAUAAUUCUAUAAUUUACUGUUUUUGAACUUCUUGCUCUUCUAGAUCAAUGGAAAGGUACCUUUUAAGCAAGAAGUAAA